AGGCAGAAAGCCUGAGAGAAGGUGGACGGACCCAGCAGCCGCAGCCCGGCUCCUCCCGGACCGGGCACCCUGUCGACGGCCCCGACUCUCCGGGCCACCCCAGUUUGGAGGAUUCUAACCUUGAUUUUCCAGCUUUGACCCCCCUCUGGAAGCGAUACUACGUGACUGGGGGCCUUCAGAGGAGGUCCAGAGGAGUGGAGCAAGAACAAGGUCAGGGAAACAUGAUCCAGGAAGAAACCCCAAGCAGAGGCUGAUCAACCCCUAAAAGUGAAGACUGUCAACAGAUAUAGUCACAAUGUUCCCCUGCUGAAAAUUCUGGUGCCAAAGAGUGGAGUGAUUUUAACUCCCUAAACAGAAAAAUUUGUAGAAAAAUUACUUAUAGGCUUGAGCUGCAGGAAGGUGCAAUCAGGCUGGAUGCUGCAGUUUUCUGGGGGGACAGGUAUGGGAAGAUACAACAACUAAAACAUGGCAAGGUGCUAAAGACAGCUUAGACAGAAAUAGCUUGGGAAUGCAUUUGAAUUGUUUACAAACCCUUUGACAUUUUUCUUCUAACUAGUCUUUACAUUUCCCUUACCUGUAACUCAUUGCAUUUCUUCUUACUCUAAGACUUCCAAAUAAAGGUUUAUUGUCUUCCA
rnacentral:lncRNA from 1 species